UUGUUUGCGUAUGUAGCAUAAUCAAGAUUCACAUGAAAAGUUGCAAAUUUGUUAUAUAAUUGAUGAAAUUAAUGGCUAGCUAUUUGAAAUUCAUGAGAAUCUUGAUGAUGCUGCAUCAGCAAUAAA
rfam:Solanum tuberosum cultivar DM 1-3 516 R44 scf00091_2, whole genome shotgun sequence.